UCGAUUCCCUUAGUAGCGGCGAGCGAAACGGGAAGAGCCCAAACCAACAAGCUUGCUUGUUGGGGUUGUAGGACACUCUAUACGGAGUUACAAAGGACGACAUUAGACGAAUCAUCUGGAAAGAUGAAUCAAAGAAGGUAAUAAUCCUGUAGUCGAAAAUGUUGUCUCUCUUGAGUGGAUCCUGAGUACGACGGAGCACGUGAAAUUCCGUCGGAAUCUGGGAGGACCAUCUCCUAAGGCUAAAUACUCUCUAGUGACCGAUAGUGAACCAGUACCGUGAGGGAAAGGUGAAAAGCACCCCGGAAGGGGAGUGAAAUAGAACCUGAAACCGUGUGCUUACAAGUAGUCAGAGCCCGUUAAUGGGUGAUGGCGUGCCUUUUGUAGAAUGAACCGGCGAGUUACGAUUUGAUGCAAGGUUAAGCAGUAAAUGUGGAGCCGUAGCGAAAGCGAGUCUGAAUAGGGCGUUUAGUAUUUGGUCGUAGACCCGAAACCAGGUGAUCUACCCUUGGUCAGGUUGAAGUUCAGGUAACACUGAAUGGAGGACCGAACCGACUUACGUUGAAAAGUGAGCGGAUGAACUGAGGGUAGCGGAGAAAUUCCAAUCGAACCUGGAGAUAGCUGGUUCUCUCCGAAAUAGCUUUAGGGCUAGCCUCAAGUGAUGAUUAUUGGAGGUAGAGCACUGUUUGGACGAGGGGCCCCUCUCGGGUUACCGAAUUCAGACAAACUCCGAAUGCCAAUUAAUUUAACUUGGGAGUCAGAACAUGGGUGAUAAGGUCCGUGUUCGAAAGGGAAACAGCCCAGACCACCAGCUAAGGUCCCAAAAUAUAUGUUAAGUGGAAAAGGAUGUGGCGUUGCCCAGACAACUAGGAUGUUGGCUUAGAAGCAGCCAUCAUUUAAAGAGUGCGUAAUAGCUCACUAGUCGAGUGACACUGCGCCGAAAAUGUACCGGGGCUAAACAUAUUACCGAAGCUGUGGAUUGUCCUUUGGACAAUGGUAGGAGAGCGUUCUAAGGGCGUUGAAGCAUGAUCGUAAGGACAUGUGGAGCGCUUAGAAGUGAGAA
rnacentral:rRNA from 1 species